UUGCUUUGGCCUUUCAAAUAUUUAAGGGAUUCAUGACCACUAUGUAUCACAAACUCCUUUGGAAAAAGGUAGUAUUGCCAAUUUUUGCAAGGCUCUUACAAGAGCAUAAAGUUCUUUAUCAUAAGUGGAGUAGUUGAGAUGACUCCCCUUGAGUUUCUCACUAAAAUAAGUUAUAGGGUGGCCCUCUUGAAGGAGGGCAACC
rnacentral:lncRNA from 1 species